rnacentral:rRNA from 1 species
UACAGAGGGUGCGAGCGUUAAUCGGAAUUACUGGGCGUAAAGCGCGCGUAGGCGGCUUUGCAAGUCGGGUGUGAAAUCCCCAGGCUUAACCUGGGAACUGCGUUCGAGACUGCAUUUGCUAGAGUAUGGGAGAGGGAAGUGGAAUUUCCGGUGUAGCGGUGAAAUGCGUAGAUAUCGGAAGGAACAUCAGUGGCGAAAGCGACUUCCUGGACCAAUACUGACGCUCAUGUGCGAAAGCGUGGGGAGCAAACAGG